rnacentral:rRNA from 1 species
UAUCGUAUUUCUUGAUUUUAAGUUGAGAUUGAUUUUGUCUUAUAAAAUUAGCUUUAUUUUUAUAAUUUUAUAUACAAAUUUUU